rnacentral:rRNA from 1 species
GAUGAACGCUGGCGGCGUGCCUAAUACAUGCAAGUCGAGCGAACAGAUGAGGAGCUUGCUCCUCUGACGUUAGCGGCGGACGGGUGAGUAACACGUGGAUAACCUACCUAUAAGACUGGGAUAACUUCGGGAAACCGGAGCUAAUACCGGAUAAUAUAUUGAACCGCAUGGUUCAAUAGUGAAAGACGGUUUUGCUGUCACUUAUAGAUGGAUCCGCGCCGCAUUAGCUAGUUGGUAAGGUAACGGCUUACCAAGGCAACGAUGCGUAGCCGACCUGAGAGGGUGAUCGGCCGCACUGGAACUGAGACACGGUCCAGACUCCUACGGGAGGCAGCAGUAGGGAAUCUUCCGCAAUGGGCGAAAGCUUGACGGAGCAACGCCGCGUGAGUGAUGAAGGUCUUCGGAUCGUAAAACUCUGUUAUUAGGGAAGAACAAAUGUGUAAGUAACUAUGCACGUCUUGACGGUACCUAAUCAGAAAGCCGCGGCUAACUACGUG